rnacentral:lncRNA from 1 species
GUGUGUAUUACAAGUAUGUUCAAUAUUAAAUUUGAACAUAAAGAGGCUUGAAUGUUAAGUGCAAUGCUAAAAUAUAUUUUUUUAAUAUUCGAAAGUUUUUUAUAGGUUAUAUAGCCUGGAAUAACGGUGAACAGGACGAAGGAAACGACAGGAUAGUAAUGUUUUCUAUAUUAUUACACAGAAAUGAAUUUAUCAUUAUAAUUCUGGCUGUUCUGUUCAUCAUGACUUUUAUGAUUUGUUUCUAUAUGGAAGCUUUAAAGAAACAGCAACGUUGUUAUGGAUUUCAUGACAAUUAUCCUCUAAACGAUGUGAAAUAUAUUGUGAAUCAGAUAAUAGACCAAGGUAUGACCUCUAGCAAACCGAUUAAUAAUAUGUACAACCAGUAUACC